AAUUGAAAUUGAAAUUUCAGAAAAUUCCUGCCCAAAGCUUUACACAGGUUAUAGAGUAUACACUGACUGUCACUCACUCUCACUCAGCCCGCUUGUUCUCCACCGAACCCACCCGCACCGGCGACCCACCCUUAUCGGCGACUCACCUUCACCGGCGACCCACUCCCGACGACGGCGAGAAGUUCUCAGAUCUCUGUAAUCUUUCUCAAAAUAUAAACACUAGAAAUGUUCCACAUUUUGUUAAUUGUUGCUGUGCCAAAGGUUGUUGUUCAUGUUGCUGAGAAAAGUUGAUGAAAUUGUGCUGAAUUUGCAGUUGUAGUUGCUGAAAUUGGGCUGAACUGUGUGCUAUGGCUUGCUGAAAUUCUGUUUUGAUCUCUGUUAUCAAUUAUAUAAUGUUGUAAGGGGUUCUAGUUUUUUGUGUUCAUAGUUAUCCUUGGUGGUGCCUCAGAUUUGAGGAGUGAGGUUGUUUCCCAUUUCAUCUUUGUUUUAAAAUCAAUUUCCUAUUUCA